AAACUUGGGGCUGCUUGUGUUUAAAGCCGUACGCUGCUGCGAAGUCUGCAAAGGUUUGACCUGAAUACUGAGGCCCAUUAUCGGACAUGAGGUCCUCUGGGAUGCCAUGACGGGCAAAGAAAGAUUUCAGCUCAGUUUAAACCACAGUGAGUCUCACUGAGACCAACAGCAUCGUCCAGUCCUGUGAACUGGAGAUGGGCGGGGCCUCAGUAAGGAGGGAUUAGGACUCUGUUACCCAGAGUGCACUGCGAGAGUAAAAUCCCCAAAGAGGAUUAGUGAGGAUCAGCGAGACGACAUGCCGCUGAAGAGAGAAGGACCCAAGCCCCCCAGGCCCAGCCAGAACCCCAGCCCGGAGGUGGAGCACCCCAAGAACCCAGGGGCAGGCUGCCAGGCCGGUAACCAAGGGAACACCACCUAAGAGCCACAAAAGCCCCAUCCAGGUCAGGACCACAGCCCCCACGCCAAACCGCACAAGAAACCCACCCCAAGGGAACCCACACCCCCCCCAACACCCAACAGCAAUGGCCAGCAGGACAGCACCACAGCCCCACGAGGUGAUGGAGCCGAUUGAUGUGAGCAGUAUUGGUUCAUGUUCAGGUUCCUUUCAUGAUACUGAGCGCGCUGUGCAGGUGAUGGAGGCCUGUCGGGCUGGAGCUGCUGAUGGGGUCAAAGGUCGAGCAGAGAGGCUGCUCAACAUCUUCCAGAGUGACCUGUUCCAGGCCCUGCUGGUUUCUCAGUCAUCCAGGUCAUCGUAGUCAAAGGAGCUUGCAAAGAAAAGCGUCUGGACUUCUUUAAGUUGCUUGAAGACGUUUCACCUCUCAUCCGAGAAGCUUCUUCAGUUCUAAGGUCAAAUGGCCGAGAGUCCCAGAUUUAAACCCAGUGGGAGUAUCCCCCCAAGGAGGGACAAAGGACCCCCUGGUGAUCCUCUAAUCACAUGCGCCAAGGUGUGAAAGCGGGUGUGGGACCUAAUCAGCCAGGGUUUCAGGCUCUUUGAAGCUUCGCUGCAAAUGUGGAGGAAAAGUUUUAUCUGGAGCUCUGCAGCAGGUAUAAACUGAUAUUAAUCUUUAAUCUGUCAAAACUGAGAGCAAACAAAAGAACUGCUGUAUAAUGCCGUCCACCCACUUAGUUUAAUUGGUCACAUGACUGCAUCAUAUGACUAAAAUGCGUCGUUGUUUUCAAAGGGCUCAGUUUUUGCAGUCCAGAUUGCAACAUGAAAACUGCCUUUUCAAAAAGCUCAGUUUUCCUUGAGCAAAAACGCCGUCUCAGUGUGGAGGCCAAAACGGAGAGAAAAAGAAGCUUUUAGAAAACGUAUCAGUGUGGACAUGGCCUCCGUCCUCUGCUUCGUCUCUACACCUCUGAAACCUGCUGCUGUCUGUACACCUCAUGCUGUGUUUGCUGUUCUCUCAGAGGUGGAGGAGGGGGCGGAGUCUGUCCAGCUGCCUGAGGACACUCAGGUGGAGUGGUGGCACCGUCCUGAGAAGCCUGACAAACAGGAGCAGCAUCACAGAGUGAAAGAAAGACGAGCGUGUGAAAAGCGGACAGUUCAGCCUGACCCUUAAACGCCCCACAGACAGAUACAGCUGUGUGGCCUGGAGCCAGGGAAACAUCAUGGAUGGAGAAUCGUGCUGCUCACAGUUACAGCUGUUUGUUCACAUUCACUUGGUUCUCUUUCACUUAUUAUUUUAUUGUGUUUCUGUGUGAAGCUGUCGUGUCUCCUCUGCAGGGACGGUUCAGGUCCAGGAUCAAACAUCAGGAACAGAAGCAGCUCCAUUGAUCCGACUCCUCUGAUGGCUGAUCAAUCAGUUUGAUCUGUUUGAUUAUUGAUCAGUGAUGUCAGAGUGGAGUCAGUGUGAUGUUGUUGUUGUGUGUUUGAGACUUUUAGUGUCCAUGAAGGUCUCUGCUGCCGUAGAUCCUCUGAACUGUGACAGAGGUCUCACUCUGGAGGAAACUCUCAGCACUUCCCAGCAGCUCCUCCAUCAUGGAGGACGUUCCCUCACUGUAACAGGUGGAGGAGAGGAAGCACAGGUGGAUCCUCUGAGGAAGAGGAGCCUUCCUACAAACCACAUGAUCACAUGACCAGAGGGGCGUGGCCUUCAGUGGUAGUAAUAAAGGAACAGUCCACAUGUGAUACUUUGAAGGCUCCAACAAAGCAGACCUGUGAUCACUUUAACUCAGUAUGAUGGAUUGUUUGGAUUUGUCUUUGUUUCUCUGGCUUUUCUUGUGUGUCUGUGUGUCUUUGUGUGUUGGACAGAGUCAUGUGACCUGCCCAGGGACGACACAUGAGCAGCUCAAAUCUGGCAGGUUUCCAUCUUCUGUUUUUAUCCUGAUGUCCAUGAACAUGAACUCUGUCCCUGUCAAAUAAAUCCAGAUAAAAACAGCCGGUUACAUUAAAUCUGAUCCAGUGUUGUUCUUCUUCUGUGGUGUUUGUGAUGGAGCAGCUGCUCCUGAUGUGUGUGGAGAUGAAACCUGGGCUCCUGCAGCUUUCUUUGCUACAGAAAGUUACAUUUAAGAUGUUUAAUGUCACAUACAAUGAAGUUUAGGACUUAUUUAAACCAGCAUGAACUAACAGUUGUAUAAGGAAAGGGAAAUAAAUGAGACGUGAACACCAAGAAAUAAGUGAAAUGAUGAUGAAGAAUGCAGAACUAUAAUUUAACCAAAACUAGAUCCCCCAGAAACAUCCUCAGAAAUCCAAACCUUGUCUCUAAGACCCAGAAGUAACACAGUCCACACUAGACUGUGGAUCCACCACAGCCCUGCAGGACUGUUUGGACAAUAUGGUCUGGAGUGUAUUCACAGAAGGAACAGACUUGGAGGGCCACACAUCUGCUGUACUCUCAUACAUCUGCACUGAGAGUGUAACAACAACAAAGACAAAGUGUUCCCAAAGCAGAAGCCAUGGCUCAACAGUGAGGUGCAAGCUCUACUGAGAGCAGCGCCUUCAGAUCAGGAGACCAACAAACCUACAAAGAGGCGUCUGAUCUAAAGGCAUCAAAGAAUCCAAACGCAGAUUCAAACAGCGCAUCGAGGAACACUUUAACACAAACCACUCCAGAAACAUGUGGCAGGGAUCAAGACACUCACUGGCUACAAGGACAAUCGCAUGAAGCAGUUCUUCGCCCGCUUUGACCAACAAAACAGUGACACCAACACCUAUCCUGCGUUACAGAGAGGGACGACGCCCCCAUCCAGCUGGAGCAGCAUCAGGUCAGAGCCACACUGACAGAGUCUAUGCGAGGAAAGCAGCUGGUGCUGACGGUGCAGCCGGUGGAGUGCUUAAAGCAUGUGCAGACCAACUAGCAGAGGUUUCACCACCAUCAUGUUUACAGUAAGGAUCAGCUGUUAGCGCUGCGUCCCGCUGCAGUACUGCCGGCGGACAGACCCGACAUUCCCAGCGAGCUGAGGAGGAAAAGACGGGGGUGUCGUGCUGGGAAGGAGCGCCGUCGCCCGAGAAGGAGACGUUAUCGACCAUCUCUUCCUUCUGUAAUUAUUGGAAAUGUCAGAUCUUUGCCCAAUAAAAUGGAUGAGCUAACGUCGCUAACCUGGUCACAGAGGGAGUACCGGCAAUGUAGCAUCAUGAUGCUAACGGAGUCGUGGCUAACACCGCUAACUCCGGACACGAGUGUGACACUACCGGGAUUCCAGCUGCUGCGAGCGGACAGGACAAGAGACAGCGGUAAGAGGAAAGGAGGGGGACUGGCAGUGUUUGUGAAUGACAGAUGGUGUAACCCUGGGCACAUCACUGUGAAAGAACAACUCUGCAGCAGAGACAUUGAGCUGUUAGCUGUUAGCAUGCGUCCAUACUACCUGCCCCGGGAAUUCUCGCAUGUUAUCGCGAUAACAGCGUACGUCCCCCCCUCGGCCAACGCGGAUGCAGCCUGUGACACUCUCCACUCAGUGGUCAGCAGACUGCAAACACAAUCUCCGAGAGCCCUCCUCAUAAUAUCAGG